rnacentral:rRNA from 1 species
CCAAUAGCGUAUAUUAAAGUUGUUGCAGUUAAAAAGCUCGUCGUUGAAUUUCGGGAUUGACACAUCGGUCGUGCCUUAAGGGGUAUGAACUGGUGUAGUCAGUUUCUCACCUUCUGGAGAACCGCGAUGUCCUUAAUUGGGUGCCGCGAGGAACCAGGACCUUUACUUUGAAAAAAUUAGAGUGUUUAAAGCAGGCAUUUUGCUUGAAUACAUUAGCAUGGAAUAAUAAAAUAGGACGGAUGGUUCUAUUUUGUUGGUUUCUAGGAUCACCGUAAUGAUUAAUAGGGAUAGUUGGGGGCAUUAGUAUUCAAUUGUCAGAGGUGAAAUUCUUGGAUUUAUUGAAGACUAACUACUGCGAAAGCAUUUGCCAAGGAUGUUUUCAUUAAUCAAGAACGAAAGUUAGGGGAUCGAAGACGAUCAGAUACCGUCGUAGUCUUAACCAUAAACUAUGCCGACUAGGAAUCAGACGAUGUUAAUUUUUUAAUGACUCGUUUGGCACCUUACG